GGACUACUGGGGUUUCUAAUCCUGUUUGCUCCCCACGCUUUCGCGCCUCAGCGUCAGUAAUGGUCCAGUUGGCCGCCUUCGCCACCGGUGUUCUUGCGAAUAUCUACGAAUUUCACCUCUACACUCGCAGUUCCACCAACCUCUACCAUACUCAAGCUAUCCAGUAUCGAAGGCAAUUCUGUGGUUGAGCCACAGGCUUUCACCCCCGACUUAAAUAGCCGCCUACGCGCCCUUUACGCCCAGUGAUUCCGAGCAACGCUAGCCCCCUUCGUAUUACCGCGGCUGCUGGCAC
rnacentral:rRNA from 1 species